rnacentral:rRNA from 1 species
GACGAACGCUGGCGGCGUGCCUAAUACAUGCAAGUAGAACGCUGAAGGAGGAGCUUGCUUCUCUGGAUGAGUUGCGAACGGGUGAGUAACGCGUAGGUAACCUGCCUGGUAGCGGGGGAUAACUAUUGGAAACGAUAGCUAAUACCGCAUAAGAGUAGAUGUUGCAUGACAUUUGCUUAAAAGGUGCAAUUGCAUCACUACCAGAUGGACCUGCGUUGUAUUAGCUAGUUGGUGAGGUAACGGCUCACCAAGGCAACGAUACAUAGCCGACCUGAGAGGGUGAUCGGCCACACUGGGACUGAGACACGGCCCAGACUCCUACGGGAGGCAGCAGUAGGGAAUCUUCGGCAAUGGACGGAAGUCUGACCGAGCAACGCCGCGUGAGUGAAGAAGGUUUUCGGAUCGGAAAGCUCGGUUGUAAGAGAAGAACGAGUGUGAGAGUGGAAAGUUCACACUGUGACGGUAUCUGACCAGAAAGGGACGGCUAACUACGUG